CCUACGGGAGGCAGCAGUGAGGAAUAUUGGUCAAUGGGCGCGAGCCUGAACCAGCCAAGUAGCGUGAAGGAUGACUGCCCUACGGGUUGUAAACUUCUUUUAUAACGGAAUAAAGAGAGGCACGUGUGCCUUUUUGUAUGUACUUUAUGAAUAAGGAUCGGCUAACUCCGUGCCAGCAGCCGCGGUAAUACGGAGGAUCCGAGCGUUAUCCGGAUUUAUUGGGUUUAAAGGGAGCGUAGAUGGGUUGUUAAGUCAGUUGUGAAAGUUGGCGGCUCAACCGUAAAAUUGCAAUUGAUACUGGCUGUCUUGAGUACAGUAGUGGUAGGCAGAAUUCGUGGUGUAGCGGUGAAAUGCUUAGAGAUCACGAGGAACUCCGAUUGCGAAGGCAGCUUACUAAACUGCCACUGACAUUGAUGCUCGAAAGUGUGGGUAUCAAACAGGAUUAGAUACCCGGGUAGUC
rnacentral:rRNA from 1 species